rnacentral:rRNA from 1 species
CCUACGGGGGGCUGCAGUGGGGAAUAUUGGACAAUGGGCGAAAGCCUGAUCCAGCCAUGCCGCGUGUGUGAAGAAGGCCUUCGGGUUGUAAAGCACUUUCAGUGGGGAAGAAAGCCUUGGGGCUAAUACCCUCGAGGAAGGACAUCACCCACAGAAGAAGCACCGGCUAACUCCGUGCCAGCAGCCGCGGUAAUACGGAGGGUGCGAGCGUUAAUCGGAAUUACUGGGCGUAAAGCGCGCGUAGGCGGUCUGAUAAGCCGGUUGUGAAAGCCCCGGGCUCAACCUGGGAACGGCAUCCGGAACUGUCAGGCUAGAGUGCAGGAGAGGAAGGUAGAAUUCCCGGUGUAGCGGUGAAAUGCGUAGAGAUCGGGAGGAAUACCAGUGGCGAAGGCGGCCUUCUGGACUGACACUGACGCUGAGGUGCGAAAGCGUGGGUAGCAAACAGGAUUAGAUACCCCGGAGUC